rnacentral:rRNA from 1 species
GGGUUUAAAGAGUGCGCAGGCGGUUCUGGUAAGUCAGAUGUGAAAAUCCCCGGGCUUAACCUGGGAACUGCGUUUGAAACUGCAGAGCUAGAGUGCGGCAGAGGGAGGUGGAAUUCCAUGUGUAGCAGUGAAAUGCGUAGAGAUAUGGAAGAACAUCGAAUGGCGAAGGCAACCUCCUGGGCUAGCACUGACGCUCAUGCACGAAAGCGUGGGGAGCAAACAGGAUUAGAUACCCUGGUAGUCCACGCCCUAAACUAUGUUCAACUAGUUGUCGGGUCUUAAUAGACUUGGUAACGUAGCUAACGCGUGAAGUUGACCGCCUUGGGGAGUACGGUCGCAAGGAUUAAAACU